GACGAACGCUGGCGGCGUGCUUAACACAUGCAAGUCGAACGGAAAGGCCCUGCUUUUGUGGGGUGCUCGAGUGGCGAACGGGUGAGUAACAAGUGAGUAACCUGCCCUUGACUUUGGGAUAACUUCAGGAAACUGGGGCUAAUACCGGAUAGGAGCUCCUGCUGCAUGGUGGGGGUUGGAAAGUUUCGGUGGUUGGGGAUGGACUCGCGGCUUAUCAGCUUGUUGGUGGGGUAGUGGCUUACCAAGGCUUUGACGGGUAGCCGGCCUGGGAGGGUGACCGGCCACAUUGGGACUGGGAUACGGCCCGGACUCCUACGGGAGGCAGCAGUGGGAAAUAUUGCACAAUGGGCGGAAGCCGGAUGCAGCAACGCCGCGUGCGGGAUGACGGCCUUCGGGUUGUAAACCGCGUUCGCCUGUGACGAAGCGUGAGUGACGGUAAUGUGUAAAGAAGCACCGGCUAACUACGUG
rnacentral:rRNA from 1 species